rfam:Anopheles christyi strain ACHKN1017 cont1.3938, whole genome shotgun sequence.
AAAACGGUCCUUUUCAGGACCACUGAAUGGUUCCAUUGAAGAACUUU